rnacentral:rRNA from 1 species
AGAGUUUGAUCCUGGCUCAGGACGAACGCUGGCGGCGUGCCUAAUGCAUGCAAGUCGAGCGGGCUACGAUCUUCGGAUUGUAGCUUAGCGGCGAACGGGUGAGUAACACGUAGGUAAUCUACCCUUCAGAGGAGGACAACCUCAGGAAACUGAGGCUAAACCUUCAUACGUUCACUGGUAGGGAUACUGGUGAAGAAAGAGUUACCUUAGUGGUAGCUGCUGAAGGAUGAGCCUGCGGCCCAUCAGGUAGUUGGUGAGGUAACGGCUCACCAAGCCGAAGACGGGUAACCGGUCUGAGAGGAUGUCCGGUCACACUGGGACUGAGACACGGCCCAGACUCCUACGGGAGGCAGCAGCAGGGAAUCUUGGGCAAUGGGCGAAAGCCUGACCCAGCGACGCCGCGUGGAGGAAGAAGUCCUUCGGGGCGUAAACUCCUGGACUGGGGGACGAGGAAGGACGGUACCCCAGUAGAAAGGGACGGCUAACUACGUGCCAGCAGCCGCGGUAAAACGUAGGUCCCGAGCGUUGUUCGGAUUCACUGGGUGUAAAGGGCGCGUAGGUGGUUGUCUGUGUCUCAUGUGAAAACUCAGGGCUCAACUCUGAGAUUGCGUGGGAAACUAGGCAGCUAGAGGACGGUAGAGGGGAGUGGAAUUCCCGGUGUAGCGGUAAAAUGCGUAGAUAUCGGGAGGAACACCGGUGGCGAAGGCGGCUCUCUGGGCCGAUCCUGACGCUGAGGCGCGAAAGCUAGGGGAGCGAACCGGAUUAGAUACCCGGGUAGUCCUAGCCGUAAACGAUGGGUGCUAGGUGUUGGGGGGUAAAGACCCUUCAGUGCCGAAGCCAACGCGAUAAGCAUCCCACCUGGGGAGUACGGCCGCAAGGUUGAAACUCAAAUGAAUUGACGG